rnacentral:rRNA from 1 species
UCGAGGGGCAGCAUAAUGGAUAGCAAUAUCUAUGGUGGCGACCGGCGCACGGGUGCGUAACGCGUAUGCAACCUACCUUUAACAGGGGGAUAACACUGAGAAAUUGGUACUAAUACCCCAUAAUAUCAUAGAAGGCAUCUUUUAUGGUUGAAAAUUCCGAUGGUUAGAGAUGGGCAUGCGUUGUAUUAGCUAGUUGGUGGGGUAACGGCUCACCAAGGCGACGAUACAUAGGGGGACUGAGAGGUUAACCCCCCACACUGGUACUGAGACACGGACCAGACUCCUACGGGAGGCAGCAGUGAGGAAUAUUGGUCAAUGGACGCAAGUCUGAACCAGCCAUGCCGCGUGCAGGAUGACGGCUCUAUGAGUUGUAAACUGCUUUUGUACGAGGGUAAACGCAGAUACGUGUAUCUGUCUGAAAGUAUCGUACGAAUAAGGAUCGGCUAACUCCGUGCCAGCAGCCGCGGUAAUACGGAGGAUUCAAGCGUUAUCCGGAUUUAUUGGGUUUAAAGGGUGCGUAGGCGGUUUGAUAAGUUAGAGGUGAAAUUUCGGGGCUCAACCCUGAACGUGCCUCUAAUACUGUUGAGCUAGAGAGUAGUUGCGGUAGGCGGAAUGUAUGGUGUAGCGGUGAAAUGCUUAGAGAUCAUACAGAACACCGAUUGCGAAGGCAGCUUACCAAACUAUAUCUGACGUUGAGGCACGAAAGCGUGGGGAGCAAACAGGAUUAGAUACCCUGGUAGUCCACGCAGUAAACGAUGAUAACUCGUUGUCGGCGAUACACAGUCGGUGACUAAGCGAAAGCGAU